rnacentral:lncRNA from 1 species
UUUUUUUUUGUCUUUUUUUUUUUUUAGGGCCACACCCAUAGCAUAUGGAGGUUCCCAGGCUAGGGGUUGAAUUGGAGCUGUAGCUGCUGGUCUAUGCCACAGCCACAGCAACGCCGGAUCCAAGCCUCGUCUGUGAACUACACCACAGCUCACAGCAACGCCAGAUCCUUAACCCACUGAGCGAGGCCAGGGAUUGAACCUGUGUCCUCAUGGAUGCUAGUCAGGCUGAUUUCCACUAAGCCACGACGGGAACUCCCAGGGAAUGCACUUUUGACAAGAAGACUGAGCAGCUGUGUUUGUAGAUGAGAAGGAUCUAUAUUGCCAGUCCAAAAAAGUAUCCAAAAUGGUGUAUAUUAUAACCAAAGGGGGCUUUUCAUCAAUGGAAAUGUAUCUAACUGACUGCAAAUGUGCAUCUCGGGAGCAAAGCACAUACCCUUUCAUGUUAAACACAGAAACACAGACACACAAACACACAGACACACACAGGGACACAGACACACAAACACACAGACACACACACACACGACUAUGUGAAACAGCCUCUUCUCGAUAUGAAUCACCCCAAAAGGGCUGUAGAACAUACCUGCCUUGUAGAGGAACAGAAUUUUCCCCAGGCAAUAUUGUCAAAUCAAUAUUCCUGAGUGAGUCCUUAAAAAGACAUGGGGUUUUAUUACAGUUUGAAUGUACAAAUAAUUUUCUUGUUUGUUUCUCUUAACUUUUGACUAGCAAUGCUUCCUUUUUCUUUGCUGAAGCUUCUGAACAUUCAUCUCUCAGCAAGGUUUUAUUUUCUCUUAAAAUUACAGCCCACAAUUGCUCUUUGACCAAAGACUUCUGCUUUUAGCCAGAAAAUAUCUCUGGAGAGAUAGUGAGUUGGUAUGUCUUUGGGGAGCAAUAUUUCUUUUCUGCUUCUUUCUUCUUCUCAGGCUAAUCCCUCUGUGCCGAUUUUGUUGCAGAUUCAGCCCCCGCCCUCACCCCCCCUCCAAAGAGUGAGCCCCUGGCACUCCUUUCUUAUGCUUCGCUCUGUUCCUGCAAUAGGACAUUCAGGGCCUCACCUAUCUGCUCUGGCCUGUGAGCCCACCUGCAUUUCCAGCUCCUGUCCCCUGAGGCUGGGCACUUCUCCAUCCUCCAUGCACCUAUGCGUCACAUCUGGACUCUGUUAAACACCGUGGCCAGUCAAGCUGCAGGGCCAACAACUGGGGUGAUGCUGAUGCUGGGCCCCUGACAGCAUCUGAGACUGAGCCUGCCUGUCUGCCUUCCCCAGCCCAGGCGCUGCCCCCUCCAGGAAGCCAGAAUCCUUCCAGAGUCCUUGUCUUCUCUUGGGCUUGUCUUCCAAAUGGCCUUGGGGUGUACUCUGUUCUCUCUGUAUCCUUUACCAUGGUCCAUUCUAACACAUCACCCUGGCCACAUGGCUGUAAACACGCUGGCCUGCCGCCCGGACAUGCCCUGCCCCCCCUUCCUGCUUCAUCUGCCCUGCAGCCCCACAGCACAGCGCCCUGCAGUCCACCCCGUCCCUUUCUGCCCAGCAGCCUCAUUCCAAGCAGGCUUGGUCCCCAGGCCACAGCUGCCCUCUCCUGCCUCCUUGCUCACAUGCUCUCUCUGCUUGUGGGACACGCUGUCUUGCACACCUGCCUCAGAUGCACCCUCGUGCUCAGCUCCCCCCACUGCUUGGCACUUCUUACAAAGCAGCCACCCCUCAUGGGGGUCAACGAAAACUGCGAGUCUUCCAAAACAAUAUUGUGUUAAUCACUAUUUUUUAAAUUUAUAUAAAUCUUAAUGACCAACACUUUUAAAAUUCAUCAGUUUGCCACUGUUUACAUGGGUGCUGGCCCUCUGCUGUGCCUCUCAGGUGGACGAGAAUCAAUGUGACAAGACAGGGGACAGGCCAAGAGGCAGCUAGCCGGGCCCAUCCUCCAGGCCCAUGAAUGGCUGAUGGUCCAUUUCAGACUCGCCGCCCAGGAGGGUGCACUUCUCCGGCUUCCCCGGGAGGCUGAAGGCCUGGCCGCCCUCCGUGUCAGCAAGGCCUGGCCGAGCAGCCCUUUUCUGACCAUGUGAUUUCCUGUGUUGGAAAUGAUGCUGGGCGAGGGCCUGAGAAAGAUGCACUGGGCCAUUGCUGUCGGUAGCGGUUUCGACAGCAGUGAUGGUUUAUUUCAAGGACAGCUGAGGACUGCUUCUUGGGCUCUUCUGUGUGGGAAGGAUGAACCACAUCUGUGAUGUCCUGCUUAAGCCUUCUCAGGAGCAGGUCCCACCAGGCAACACCUGGAACCUUCUCCACAACACUGGUCUUGGGGACAGGAGGUGGUCACCUCGUUUGCAGCCACCGUCCCGAGAAGCUGUAUUACCACACACACUGCAGUGUUCUCAGCUCUGUUCCUCAGAUUCUAGGUCUCGCUCACGAUGGUAAGUGGGUAUAGACAGCAGCUUCCCCAUGCUGUGUACUCCCCUCCAUGUGUCCACUGACCACCCCCCUCCCCACCUGCACUUGCUCACAGGCAUUGCUUAAAUCUUCCUUGGACCCCAGGGGAAGUCUGUAGCUCAAACUCUGUUUAACACCCACUGGGGGAGUUCCUGUUGUGGCACAGUGGUUAACGAAUCCGACUAGGAACCAUGAGGUUGCAGGUUCGAUCCCUGGCCUCGCUCAGUAGGUUAAGGAUCCAGCGUUGCCAUGAGCUAUGGUGUAGGUUGCAGACACAGCUCGGAUCCCCCAUUGCUGUGGGUCUGGCGUAGGCCGGUGGCUACAGCUCCGAUUAGACCCCUAGCCUGGGAACCUCCAUAAGCCACAGGAGUGGCCCUAGAAAAGGCAAAAAGACAAAAAAAAAAAAAACCAAAAAACAAAAAACCAUUGGGAUAAGAGUCUCCUCAACAGUGCCUAGAACUUGCUACCUAUUUUUCUUUUGGUCUGUUUCAACAUUGCCAGUUAUUUUUCACCGUAUGUAAAGCCAUCUUAUGCUAAAGCUCAAACCUACCAUGAGGUCCCACCUCACACUCCUUAGAGUGGCCAUCAUUAAUAAGUCCGUAAAUGAUAAAUGCUGGAGAGGGUGUGGAGAAAAUGGUACCCUCCUAUACUGUCGGUGGGAAUGUAAGUUGGUGUAGCCACUGUGGAAAACAGUAUGGAGGUUCCUCAAAAAAGUGAAAAACAGAGCUGUCAGAUGACCCAGCAAUCCCACUCCCAGGCAUCUAUCCAGGCAAAACUGUAAUUCAAAAAAUAUGCAUGCAUCCCUGUGUUUACUGCAGCACUAUUCACAAUAGCCAAGACAUGGAACCAGCCUAAAUGGUCAUCAACUGAUGACUAGAUAAAGAAGAUGUGACACACAUAUGCAAUACAAUACUAUUCAGCCAUAAAAAGAAUGAAACUAUGCCAUUUGCACCAACGUGGGUGGACCUAGAGAGCAUCAUAAGUGAAAUAAGUCAGAAAAAGAAAGACAAAUACCANAAAAAAAAAAAAAAAAAAAAAAAAAAGGUACCAAUGAACUUAUAUACAAAACCAGCUGCAGGGAUUGCUCAUCAGUUCUCCUCUAAAAUGUAUUCCAAAACCAUGGCUUCUGUGUCCCCGGCCACUCCCAGGUGGAAGGCCCACCACCUGUCCUCACGUGGAUAGAAGCCUUACCUAGUUCGUUUUCCUUCUGCCUGGCCCUCCUCAUGGUCCAUUCCCCACCCUGCAGGCAGGCUGACACGGGCGAGCCAUCUCCCUCUCGGUCACAUCCCAAAGCCUCCUUCCCCACCUGGCCUUCAAGCACUCCUUGGUUUGACCUGAGCCCCCUCUCAUCUUGGCCACUUAGGCCCAUACUCAGCACGUCCAGCCAUGUCACCCUUCUUCCUGGCCUGGCCACUGCACUCCCCCCACCCCCACUGGUUUCCUCCUUCUCAGGCCCAUGGUCUCAUCUCAUGUCACCUCCUCACAGGGGUGCAGGCUGGUGGCCAAGUCUAAGGUGGCUGCAGGCCCCUGUUCAUCUUCAUCUCCUGAAAAGGUUGAUUUCCUUCAUCACAUUCAUCACAAGCCUGCUUUCUGGCCCUAAAGUAUAAGCUCCAAGGUCUGGAAGGGUUGACCUAUGUCCCCUACACUUACGGGCUCACCAGGUACUCAAAAAAUACGUGCUAAGUGGAAAUGUGCUCAUCAUUCCUCCUUAGAGUUUCUAUAGGAAAUACUCAUGGCUUUAGUAAUAUAAGUCCUCACUGGGCAGCUGCUGUUUUGCCCAGGUGCAGAGCCUGGUGCCAGAUUCAGAAAACCUUGGAGCACUCCCAUCCAACCCCCUUCGAGAUUCCUCCAGCCCCGCUGGAGGAAUGCACAGAGCUCACUGCAUCCUAAAGGGACCGGUUUCAGCAUGGCAUGGAUGCAGCUAGCAGAAAAGGCUCUCUCGAAGUUCCCGUCGUGGCUCAGCAGUAACGAACCCAACUACUAUCCUUGUGGACUCAGGUUCGAUCCCUGGCCUCAAUCAGUGGGUUAAGGAACCAGCGUUGCCGUGAGCUAUGGUGUAGGUCACAGAUUCAGCUUGGAUUCCCCCUUGCUGUGGCUAUGGUGUAGGCUGCCAGCUGCAGCUCCAAUUCGACCCCUAGCCUAGGAACCUCCAUAUGCUGUGAGUAUGGCCCUAAAAAGAAAAGAAAAAGGAAAGAAAGAAAAGGCUUUCUCAGCAGACCCUCCUCCCCCAGCCCCCAUCCUCCGGGAGCCCACGGCACACACAGAACUCUUCCGGUUCUGCUGCCCCAAAACCAUCUUCAAGUGUUGCUCGCCACCCUGAUUUGACAUCCCCACAUCCUCCCUCACCAGACAUCAUCUGCAAGUGUUCACUAUCCUGGUCAACGGGACCCACAGAAUUCCACUGGGUCCAGGACCCCCUCAAAAGUGUAGCUGGCUUUGAUGCUGCCACCGAUGAGAUCUAAACGCACCAGUGCCCAGGCCCCUCCUGGGCUGCACUUGGUGGCCCUGGGUGGCCUCAGUUCCCGGUAUUCACUUCAGGCUUCUUAUUAAUGAAAAGCUGCUCUUUUCACAUGCAGUCAAGAUAUACCCCCAGCCCUAGCCACUGAUUAACUUACUAAAACUGCUCCACUUGCCCCCUCACUCCUUUUGUUGAUUACGCCCGUUUCCAUCUAUCACCUCGCAUUACAUCAGCACCGGGCUGCUCAGCCUCGGCCCUCCUGACAUCUGGGCUGGAUCACUCUCUGCCGUGGGGCUGUCUUGUCCUCUGUAGUCUGGGUAGCAGCAAUCCUGGCCUCCAUCCCCGAAGACCAGCAGCCUCCCCCCCAUCCUCCCAUUGUGACAACCAUCUCCAGACACUGCCAAAUGUUCCCUGGGGGCUCUGUCCCCAAAUGUUCCCUGACUGGAAGCCACUGUGUUAGGGGUUUGGCCUGCCUACAAAUCUGAUAUGUUCCUUCCAUUGCUCUCGCAUCUUCACCAACAAAUUAGAUGACAGACUAUCCCCUUAUCUUGUUUAUUACCAUGAUCACUCUGAGCACAGGACAGGGCAGGUUGCGAAAGAACAGAGCCCGGUGGAGGUAAGUGGGGCCAGGGCCCAGAGGCGGCAGAGCUGGGGUGCAGAGCAGAGCCUGUGAGCUGGAUGGGCUGAGAACCCAGCUCCUGUGACCAGGCAUGUUAGCACCACAGGUCUACACCUGUGAAAGUGGUGAUGGCAGCACCAACGUAGCCGAAACGAAGUGCAGUCGUGAUAGUGUGGAGGGUUGCCCAUGGCAACUGGUACCUCGUGGGGGGAAGGGCUCCAAAUAAAAGAGAGAAGGGAUAGGGAAGGGAAAGGCAUCAGUAGCCCAGGCUGGAAAGGAGUGUGUGUGUGUGUGUGUGUGUGUGUGUACUUGCGUGUACCCUUCCCCAAAACACACUCCCAAAUGACAAUGAUGGAGGCUUUAACUGAACCACAGACAAUGUUUUCUGAUUAUGGUUUGUUUGGGUUUUUUGUGCUUUUUAGGGUUGCACCGGCGGCAUAUGGAGGUUCCCAGGCCAGGGAUGGAACCCACGCGACCCAAAUGGCUGCAGUGACAAUGCUGAAUCCUUAGCCUGUUGUGCCACAAGCAAACCCCCUAUUGUAGUUCAAUUUGGGUGGUAAAUUUGAAAAUCAGCUCAAUCUGUGUUGGAAGGAGACAUAUGUAAAAGCAUUGCUUGGAUGUUCUCAUAUGAACCCCUUGUUGAUUCAGGAUGUUUUAUCCAAUUCCUCCUUAAAGGGUCAACACAAUUUAUUGCUUAAUUUCUCAACACCAGCUCUAAAGAGAAUAAUAACCUUUCUAAAACUAUUUGUAAGGGUGAAAUAGACCUGUCAUACUGAGUUUGUGCCCCCCACCCCCACCCCACCCCACCCCACCCCAGGCUGCCUUCUCAAGAUCCUGUCUCCACUGAUAGGACUUGAAACCUUCUCACCGCGGGGGAGGACAGAAGGUCCCAUAAUGACGUUCCUCAUUAGAAGAGUGGACAGGAAUUCUGGUUCUGGAUUAGAAACACCUUGGUUUUAGGCUUUGGAUUCCAGCAAUAUCACAGAGGGCUGGACAUGCCCAAAUCACUUACCUUCCUGGGGUUCAGUGCCUCCCAGAAGGUUGAAUUAGAUGCCCCCCCCAAAAAAAGAAAAUACAUAGAAAAACUUUAGCUGCAGAUGCAGCCCUAAAAAAAAAAAUACAUAGAUGUUCCCUAAGACUCCAUCCCCCUCUAACGCCCCGGGCAUCCC